rnacentral:tRNA from 1 species
AUUUAAAUAGCUUAAAAAGAGUAUAACAUUGAAGAUGUUAAGGUGAUUUUAAAUUAUCUUUAAAUA